GAUGAAGAACGCAGCGAAAUGCGAUAAGUAAUGCGAAUUGCAGAAUCCGUGAGUCAUCGAAUCUUUGAACGCACAUUGCGCCCGCCAGCACUCUGGCGGGCAUGCCUGUCCGAGCGUCAUUUCAACCCUCAGGGCCCCUUCGGGGGACCUGGCGUUGGGGAUCGGCCCGCCCCCGUGCGGCGCCGUCCCCGAAAUAUAGUGGCGGUCUCGCUGCAGCCUCCCCUGCGUAGUAGCACACCUCGCACUGGAGAGCGGCGCGGCCACGCCGUGAAACCCCCAACUUCUGAAUGUUGACCUCGGAUCAGGUAGGAAUACCCGCUGAACUUAAGCAUAUCAAUAAGCGGAGGA
rnacentral:misc_RNA from 1 species